CUGCAGGAUGCCCUGUCCUUGUGCCGGCCGGCCCACCGGGCCCCUCCUGCUGUCCAAGACGGUGGAGACAUGAAACGCCACAGGCAUCCCUGCCACCUGCCGCAGGUCCGCGUCUCCAUACAUGAUGCCCUGUCCUGGGGUGUGCGGCUGCCCCUGCAGAAGUCACACCCCGCGUGACCCGGCUUGUCCUUUCCCUGCUAGGCAGCCAAAGCUGUGUCGAAGGCCUGUGGCACAGCUCAGCACCCUCAGAUCCGGUGGCUCUGUGUCCUGCUGGCACCUGCUGUGGAGAGCAGGGUUUGCUGAGGGGGGAGGUGGCUGCCUACGUAAAGUGUCCAGCAUGAGCUUGGGAAUGUCCACCCGACUGUCCUCUUGGGGGCCAGAGGGUCCAGGCGUCCCAGGUCCCGGGAGCCGAGUGGGGCCAAGGUCCCCAGCUGUGCACGGAACACGAAUUUCUGUUGGCCUGAGGAGCUCCUGCAGGAAACCGUGGGACAAGCCUGGUUCAGCGUGAAUUCUGGGCCUCCUGCCAGCCCCCAGCCCUCCUGGGAUGCCACCUGCAGCCCUGCAGACAAGUGCCUUGAAAAUCCCAAACCAGAGGCAGCCAAGUGUGAAACCAGCCCCCGGAGAUGGAAAAGAGGACAGGCCCCGCUCCCGUUUUAUCCAAUGCCAAAGGGGAGAUCGCUUGACGUUUGAGGAAACAGCGUGUGCGACUUCCACGCCGCUCCUGGGAAGGCACUCACGCGUUCGUCCAUGACGAGGCUCUGUUAGGGAGGGGGAGGCUGGAGGGGCCCAGAGAACAGCAGGGUCCCCCAGCCAAGGUCCUGGCGGGGCUGAGUGGGGCCGGGGCGAGGUGGGCCGGGCGGGGAGCAGGCGGGCAGAGUGAGCCAGCUGGGCUGUGGUGCUAAUCCCAGAUAAUUACCCUUUGGACACUCGGAGCCAUCUCCCUUUUCUUUGCACUUAGCACGGUCUGAAUGACCCUGAGAGCACCUUGGUCUUCCGAGGUCCCGCACACAUCCGGGCCCUGGGAAAGCCGGGCCUCAGUGGUCGGUCAGGAAACCUGAUCAGGCCCUAAUCGUCUGGUGGGGAUUAGCCGGCCCGGCGGCCCCUUCUCCAGGUGAGGGCUCCCACAACCCUGCCAGGGCCACCCUUCUGGGGGCAGGGCUGCCUUUGAGCCCGGAUUAGUUGAGGUAAAGGGAUUCAUCUUGGGGCCUUCAAAGCCUUCAGGUCUCCCCGUGCCUCCUCCAGCACAGAGCGAAGGCCCUGGAUACCCCCCAUGUCUCAUGUCUGGGUGGACAGACCCUGGAAGGGGUGUGGGAGGAGUCAGUACGAUGGAGGAUACAAAGUCUGGCCUGAGCUGCUGCCACUGAACCCGGGAUCACGUUGUUCAUCGAACCCUAGAUAAGGGGCGGCUCCCCUCCCUCGCCCCACGCGUGGUGCAGAGCAGGGCCUGGCGGUGUCUCCUUCUGACUCUCCAGGGGCUUCCACAGCCCUUCUUCCCACCUAGCGCCUCCCUCGCCCUUCCUGUUCCAGCCACAGGUGCUGUCCUCUGCCUGCCUCCCUGGCCGAAGCCUUUUCCCCAGGUGGGAGCUUCCUCCCUCCAUCCCCACAGCUGCCGGUGCUGCAGGUAGCAGCUCCAGGGUCCCCUCCCAACAGGGGACUCCCCCACCCCCACUGCUGUCCCCACCACUCACCACUCCUGUAUCCUAUUUUACUUUUGUAAAAUGACUGCUGCCUUCUCCUGAGAUCCUAGUAACCUGGUUGGUAUUGUUUUUGUCACUUGCCUAUCUACCUACCAUGUAUUCAUCUUCCCCACCUAGGCUGUGAGUGCCAGAAGGGCAGGGGCAUUUCUGGUCUCAUCCUCUCUAUGCUUCCAGCACAGAAGCAUAUGAUGAAUAUUUGUUUCAUGAAUGGGUGGGUGGAUGGAUGGGUGAAUGGAUAGAUGGAUGGGUGGAUAGGUG
rnacentral:lncRNA from 1 species